rnacentral:rRNA from 1 species
CGCGCGGUUCUAUUUUGUUGGUUUCUAGGACCGCCGUAAUGAUUAAUAGGGACAGUCGGGGGCAUCAGUAUUCAAUUGUCAGAGGUGAAAUUCUUGGAUUUAUUGAAGACUAACUACUGCGAAAGCAUUUGCCAAGGAUGUUUUCAUUAAUCAGGAACGAAAGUUAGGGGAUCGAAGACGAUCAGAUACCGUCGUAGUCUUAACCAUAAACUAUGCCGACUAGGGAUCGGGCGAUGUUAUUUUUUGACUCGCUCGGCACCUUACGAGAAAUCAAAGUGCUUGGGCUCCAGGGGGAGUAUGGUCGCAAGGCUGAAACUUAAAGAAAUUGACGGAAGGGCACCACCAGGUGUGGAGCCUGCGGCUUAAUUUGACUCAACACGGGGAAACUCA